UACGGAGGGUGCAAGCGUUAAUCGGAAUUACUGGGCGUAAAGCGCGCGUAGGUGGUUUGAUAAGCGAGAUGUGAAAGCCCCGGGCUUAACCUGGGAACGGCAUUUCGAACUGUCAGGCUAGAGUAUGGUAGAGGAGUGUGGAAUUUCCAGGUGUAGCGGUGAAAUGCGUAGAGUAUGUGAGGAACA
rnacentral:rRNA from 1 species